AUUGAACGCUGGCGGAAUGCUUUACACAUGCAAGUCGAACGGUAGAGGGGGCGACCCCUCGAGAGUGGCGAACGGGUGAGUAAUAUAUCGGAACGUGCCCAGUCGUGGGGGAUAACGUAGCGAAAGUUACGCUAAUACCGCAUACGAUCUAAGGAUGAAAGCGGGGGAUCGCAAGACCUCGCGCGAUUGGAGCGGCCGAUAUCAGAUUAGGUAGUUGGUGGGGUAAAGGCUCACCAAGCCAACGAUCUGUAGCUGGUCUGAGAGGACGACCAGCCACACUGGAACUGAGACACGGUCCAGACUCCUACGGGAGGCAGCAGUGGGGAAUUUUGGACAAUGGACGCAAGUCUGAUCCAGCCAUUCCGCGUGCAGGAUGAAGGCCCUCGGGUUGUAAACUGCUUUUGUACGGAACGUAAAGGUCUCUCUUAAUACGGGGGACUCAUGACGGUACCGUAAGAAUAAGCACCGGCUAACUACGUGCCAGCAGCCGCCGCAG
rnacentral:rRNA from 1 species